rnacentral:tRNA from 1 species
AGCUCAGUGGUCCAAUGGUAAAACGCUCGUCGCAAAACCAAAGGGUCCUGGGUUCGGUCCCCGAUGGGGUUG